GGCUCCUGGUUCUUGUGGAAGAUAGAGGCUAGCAACUUCAGCUUGGCCUUGAACCCUGACAGGGACAUCUUACCCUCAUUUCCGGCGGGAGGGGCGCGGAAGGUGAGCCGAUCCGGAGCCCCUGUCAUGGCCACGACCACCCGGAAGGACAGCCCGGGGGAGCUCUGGCCGCUCUGCCUCUCCCCACUGCCUCCACUGUAGUCGGAGCACGGCUGGAAAAUGCACCAACCAUGUGCCUAGAGCUAACUGUGUCAAGAAGAGCAUACUUCAAUUGGCUGGAGUGAGCAAUUCAACUUGUGGAGGAAUGAGAAAUGAUAGUGUUGAGACAAGAAACAUAAAAACCCAGGGUAAGCUGCUACUCACACUGGUGGUGACGGCUUCCACGGAGGAGAACGCAUAUUCCUUAUCUUCUGUGAACCUCCUCUUGCAUGUCCCCAAAGUGCUUUACAAGCAAACUACAGCACUGCCAGCUUUGGGGUGGCCAUAACUCAUUUUAUGCUGGCCACUGAGCUCCCCUCCAUGGUUGCAUUGUUGACAUGGAGCAGAUUCUGCUUCAUUGCCUGAAAUGAUUCCCCCUCCAAAACCACCACUCCACCUGCAUACACAAAUGACUGAAGAUUUCUUUCUCCGAGAAAACCUACAAACUCCAAAUUGUUAGAUAAAUGAAAUGGAGACCAAAUUACAAAAGCAGGUAAUUGGCUGUGAUCCAUGUGAAAUAGCUGUGGAAACAAAACUGAAGACCAUCUAGUGCCUUCUGAAAUUGGCCUUAAUUAAGAUGCUUUUACGAAGCUGGGAAAAGGCAGGCAGCAGCUCAGGAUCUUUAGUGCCACAAAAUAAUGGAAAGGCCUUUAACCUCUGAAAGGGAUACCAGGAGCAGGCAGGGCAUUAUCCUCUUCUUUGAACCAUGAGAGGACAUUUUACAACCUCUGCCAAGAUGCCUCGAUUCAAAUUAAAAUUCAAGUGGUUUUGCCAGUCCCUCCUCCAAGUGAGAAGUACAUACCUCCUCUUAAAGCCAUAGGAAAGGCAUUGGAGAGAACUGGCUGUCUUCUCAUUUUGGACAUGAGAAAGUGGGGCACAGAUCAGACAAGAACUGGCCAUAAGUCACACCUGGGGACUCAAAGCUUAAAGUCAGAGCUCUGUAUCAUAAUGAGUGGCCCUUGCUUGGGUGCCUGGGAAAGGGACGUACCAAACAGAGCAAAGAAACCUGCAACUGAUGGCAGUCUCCUGGGGGAACACACUGCUGGUGGUGGCAAAAGGACAGCAAGGGGCCUCGCAAUCAGAGGUGAGAGAGGACAGACCAGCACUGAAACUGAUGAGUCAACUGUGUUAGCAUGGUGCUGUUGCAUUGCAGAUAUUCUCUCUUUUAAUUAUCUCAACAAAUCUGGGUGAUUAAACCCAUUUCAUGGAUGAGAACAUGGAGGCUCAGAGACAGUAAGUAACUUGUCUAAGGUGGUCUCAUUACAAGUUAGCUGUGCAGGCUGGGUACAGUGGCUCAUGCCUAUAAUCCCAAAACUUUGGGAGGCCAAGGCAGGAGGAUCACCUGUGGUCAGGAAUGUGAGACCAGCCUGGCCAACAUGGUGAAACCCUGUCUCCACUAAAAAUACAAAUAUUACCCAGGCAUGGUGGUGGAUACCUGUAAUCCUAGCUGCUCGAGAGGCUGAGACAGGAGAAUAGCUUGAACCCAGGAGGCAGACGUUGCAGUGAUCUGAGAUCAUGUCACUGCACUCCAGCCUGGAUGACAGAGCAAGACUCCAUCUCAAAAAAAAAAAAAAAAAAAAAAAAAAAA
ensembl:lncRNA